CCAGAUGUAGACUCACACACAAU
rnacentral:piRNA from 1 species